ACCACGCUCUUCCGAUCUCUCCCAAGCAGUGGGAGGAGCCAGGGCUUUGACCGCGUGCCUGUUGAAGAAUGAGCCGGCGACUCAUAGGCAGUGGCUUGGUUAAGGGAAC